GGUGCUAGCRGSMSCGGKWAUUCCAGCUCCAAUAGCGUAUAUUAAAGUUGUUGCAGUUAAAAAGCUCGUAGUUGAACCUUGGGUCUGGCUGGCCGGUCCGCCUCACCGCGAGUACUGGUCCGGCUGGACCUUUCCUUCUGGGGAACCUCAUGGCCUUCACUGGCUGUGGGGGGAACCAGGACUUUUACUGUGAAAAAAUUAGAGUGUUCAAAGCAGGCCUUUGCUCGAAUACAUUAGCAUGGAAUAAUAGAAUAGGACGUGCGGUUCUAUUUUGUUGGUUUCUAGGACCGCCGUAAUGAUUAAUAGGGAUAGUCGGGGGCGUCAGUAUUCCGCUGUCAGAGGUGAAAUUCUUGGAUUUGCGGAAGACUAGCUACUGCGAAAGCAUUCGCCAAGGAUGUUUUCAUUAAUCAGGGAACGAAAGUUAGGGGAUCGAAGACGAUCAGAUACCGUCGUAGUCUUAACCAUAAACUAUGCCGACUAGGGAUCGGACSRGAUUCUAUAAUGMCCCGUUCGGCGCCUUACCGGGAAACAAAAGAGUAGG
rnacentral:rRNA from 1 species